rnacentral:rRNA from 1 species
CUAAACGGCCACGGCACUAAAACCGUGCAAAGGUAGCACAAUCACUUGCCCCUUAAAUAGGGGCCCGUAUGAAAGGCAACAUGAGAGAAGACCUGUCUCCUAGGGCCAGCCAAUGAAAUUGAACUACCAGUACAAAAGCUGGUAUUCACAAGCAAGACAAAAAGACCCUGUGGAACUUUAACAAAUUGUUUAAACAAAUUGAACAAAGUUUCAGUUGGGAAAACUUUAGAAAAAAUAAACUUCUUAAAUAGACCAACAAGCCUAGACCCAGUUUUACUGAUUAACGAAACAAGCUACCCCAGGGAUAACAGCGCUACCUUCUCAAAGAGUCCUUAUCAACAAGAAGAUCUACGACCUCGAUGUUGGAUCAGGGUAUCCAGACGGUGCAGCAGCUGUCAAAGGUUCGUUUGUUCAC